rnacentral:lncRNA from 1 species
UUUCACUUAGAAGUUAGAACUGAAUAAUGAACAUGGUGUUGAGCUCAUUGGUUGGAAAUGGUAUGGACUAACUAUGUUUUAAUUGAAUUCAAGUCCCAAGUUAUUUCCUGCACCCAAUGAUUCUGUUGUUCUCAUGCAAGGUAUCAGUUGGUACUGAUUCCAGCAAUCAUUCUGUAUUCAUUGUUUCUCCAAGUGGCCAAAUUUCUAGUACAAGUAGAUAUUCCCUGUUCUGUCUCAAUUAUUGUGAAGAAUCCAUGCUUUUUUCAAGGACAAUGUUUGGAACGUCUAAAUAAUAUGAGAUCUUGGAGUAUAAACCAUAGUUUUUUUUUCCCUCCAUAACAGGUGGAUGCGGUGGUAUACCUAGUGGAUGCCUAUGACAAGGUUAGGUUUGCUGAGUCAAAGAAGGAACUGGAUGCCCUCCUUUCAGAUGAAUCCUUGGCUAAUGUUCCAUUUCUGAUCUUAGGCAACAAGAUUGACAUUCCCUAUGCAGCUUCAGAAGAUGAGCUUCGUUAUGAUCUUGGGCUCAACAAUUUCACUACUGGCAAGGGGAAGGUGAAUCUUGUGGACUCCAAUGUCCGUCCUCUCGAGGUUUUCAUGUGCAGUAUUGUCCGCAAGAUGGGAUAUGGUGAUGGCUUCAAGUGGAUGUCUCAAUACAUCAAGUAGAAUCGGGAGUAACAUAUGGCCUUGUACUCAUUUGGAGUUUUUCCAUCAUUUUUUGCACCAUCUUACUACAAGUACAUCGAAUAUGGAAUUUUGUUGUCUGUAGUGGUUUUAUUUGUCGAAGGAUUAACAACUGUAGUAACAUUUGAUUGAUAACUCAGCCAUUGUGAAAUUGAAGCUUAUCGAACAAUAUUGCACCUAUCUUUGUGACAGAUUGUUACUUUCUGUGGAUCAAUGAGGUAAUUGUCAUUGUUGAAUUCUCACUAUUGUCCGUCUUGGAAUGAGCAGUCCGGGCGGCUUCUUCUUUUUUGUUGGCUUGUUUUGGGUUAUCCUUUCAUGGUCCGUCUAUGCUCUCACAUGUCUUGUUAAAACAUAGAUUGAUUUGUGCCGAAGCUCUGUUCCCCAUUUAAACGCAAUGUGUUCUCAUUGUAGACUUUCAUAGCAGAGUUUCUCAGUGCUUCAUUCAAUGCAUUGUGUAGCAUUCGAGUGCAAAACUUGAUCGAGCCAACUCACCGACACCGGAAUGAGGGAUCCGUUUGUAGGCUUGCCACUUGUCAUCUUAUCGUCACGGAUGGCACCAAGCUGCGACUGUAGACUCGUAGUACUUUUAUUCCUGACACGAGCUCAUCGGCUGGCUUGAGCUUUGAUCUAGGAAACAGAAUAAAAGAAAGGGAAAGGAAACUGAUGGUUGGGACUUGGGAGUGCAUUAGCUAGAUUUUUUUCUUCGAUCUGCAGCCAGGCCACCAACCACGACCUUGUAACUUUGUUGGGAAAGAAAGGAGUUGUUGCUGUCAUUCCAUUGAAUAAACUUCCUAGUCGCCCGCCCACCCCCCAUGAUGGGUUAAUUUUAUACAACAAACGAGAUGAUGUAGCUGGUGAAGAUUUUUGACCGAGUCAUUGUUGGGCGGAUUCAGAAUAAGUUAAAGACAGAGACUUGUACAACAACGUUUAUGUUUUGAAUAUCGUGUUUGAAUUUUAAAUAAAUAAUUAAACUUUGAUGAAUAUUUAAUCGAUGAUAUGAUUAAUCAUGCAUAAGGGAUUUUUUUUGAAAAAAAGAAUUAUAAUCCUUAUAGGUAGUAAAACAGAAAAAUAAGUUAUACUUAUAUAGCCAUAACUCAAAUUCAACGAUUUUUUUAAAACAGUAAAUAGUAAAUUCAUGGCAGGAAUCAUGAUGCAUAAUGAGAGUGUUUUUUUUUUAAAAAAAAAUAUUAAAAUAAUUUUUAUUAUAUUUUUUUGACAUCAUUAUCACAUCAAAAUUAUCAAAAAACAAUAAAAAAAUAUUAAUUUAAUAUUUUUUAAAACAAACACACUUUUAAAAAAUAUAUAAAAAUAAAAAUUACUGAUUUCCAAACUGUCAUCAUGCUCUCCUCAAGCGGGCAAUAUGACUUGUAAUGUUAUUAAAAUUCAAAACUUUCAUGCUGCAUUUGAAUAGUUAAGAUUUUAUUCAUUGAAGUUUUGUUAGUGGGUGGUUGUAAUUAUUUACUUUUGUUGUAAAGAAAUCUAAAUCAAUGAUCUCAAGGUCAAAAUGAACCAGUGGUCUGAAUCUUAUAAACAUGGUGUAUCAUGCUAUCCCUGACCUGAAAGGAGUGAAGUCUGCUGUCUAAAAUUAAUUAUAUUGAAUAAUAUUUAUAAUUUUAUAGAUUGAAAAUACCACCGCAGCAACUUAGAAAUUAUUUUGUUAAGCUGAAUUGACAGCGAAAGUUGAUCAAUUCCGAUGCAAAUUUGGAAUUUUGUUUGCUGAAUGGAAUUUGAAUUUUUUUCAAUUUCUAUAUUGGCAACUACACUGUACCUGGAUGGCACUUAGAUUUGUUUUUGUUUCACCUUCCUUCUACUUUUUUUUUUUUUUUCCAUUUUAGCAUCCACCAAUGUAGGUCUACAAGGAUAUGUUAGUCCUUAUGUCAUGGAUGAUGGAUUCGAGUUUAAAUACAGUAGUCCACACCAAGUAUUACAAGAGAUUUGGAAAAUCGAUGAAUUUUCUGUUGGGAUUUGAAUUUACUACUUGGACACGGUUUGAGAGUGCGGUGAUAUUUUUUUAAAUUUUUAUUUAAAAAAAAUUAAAUUAAUAUUUUAUAUUAUUUUAAUAUAUUAAUAUUAAAAAUAUAUAUUAUUUUAAUAUAUUUUCAGAUAAAAAAUACAUUUACCAACAUUAACUCAAAACAUCCCAACCUCCUGUAAGGAGAGCAAUUGCAUCACAGUUACAAACAUUAACUCGAUACAUCCCAGCCUCUUGUAAGGAUAGCAAUUGAAUCCCCUUUUCUUGUAGUUUUCUUUUCCUUCGCUACCUCAUUAGCUAAUUGCAGGCCGCAGCUUGGGCUAAAAUUCUUUGGAAUAUAAAAAAUUAAUAUCUUGUUGAAUUUUUUUUAUAUUAUUAUUAAACUUAUUGUAAAAUUUCAAACUUGAAAAUUUUUUAUUUGAUUCUUUAUUUAAUUUGAAUUUUAAAUUAAAUUAUAUAAAAAUUAACAUAACAUAAUCUUGUCGACUGACUUGAUCAAAAAAAAUUAACAAGUCAUUUUAUCCUAAUCAAUUUGUUAAAUUUAUUUAUCGUGUUAUGUACUUUACUGGGGUGAAUUAAUUUUUUUAUUUUAUUAUAUAAUAAUACCGAUACAAUUAAAUCAAUACAAUUAAAUUUAAAACCAGCAUUAAAAAAUAAAAUUGAAAAAUAUUAACUACAACUUCAACUCGCGACAUAGAAGAACCAGCGCCUCGUGUUAACCAAGCAAGCUACGGAAAAUUUGUGUUUAACAAGGGAUUAAAAUAAGAAAUUAAUCCGGUUCACUGUUUACAUGGGCAGUUAAACCAGCCCAAGCCAAUUAUUAGUUGUUAUGUUGAUGUGAAUAUUUCAUUUAACUAUGAAAGAAUAAAAGAAAAAGGAAAUAUCAUUUGACUUUUUCCUUCUGAUUAUGGUUCAUAAAUUCCGUGGAUACUGGGGUUAUCAGUUUUAACAGGCCUGGACGUAUAGAACCUCUGCCACGAACAACUAGUCACCUCCACCUCCCAGGGGAGGUGAUAAUUAUGAUAAAAUUCGAUGGAUGUUGCUUGUGGUCUUUUAAUUACAUAGCAACAAUAAAAUUUUGUGGUUUUAUAAAAUAAUAUAAAUUAUAAUUUAGAGUUUUAUCUAAUAGUUUAAGUUAUUGGGUUAAGAUGGUUCUUUAACAUAAUAUCAGAACCUUAAUGACCAAGCAUCCACAAGUUUAAAUCUCACCAUCCUCAUUUAUUUGAUAAAAAUUAAACAUGAGGCAAUAUGGAUCUAUGCAAGUUUCAAGUCCAAAGAGCUUUCACUUGAAGGGAUGUGUUAAAAAAUAAUAUAAAUUAUAUCUCGGGACCUUACUUACCAACUUAAAUUAUUAGAUUGAGAUAAUUCUUUGACAUUUCCCUGAGCAAAUGCUGAUUUUAUGUUUAGUAUGAAGUUAGAGUAGUUCGAAUGGAAAAGAGAGUCUUUGAAAGAGCAUACGAGCCGUUGUUAGAGUCAAAAUCUAGUCAUCUUCAGGGGAGGUGACCAUCUGACCCUGACAUAAAAGUUCGAUCAUUCGUUGCGAUUGAUUUUUGGUCAUGCAAGGGCAAAACAGAUCCUAUUAUAUCUAACACCAAGAUGAUAGAUUUUACUGGUAAUCUAGUUGUUGUGUUGAAUUGAGCAGGUUUUCUUUCAUAGGUGGAUGCUUUUAUUUAUUUAUUUAUCUAUCUAUCAUUUUUGGUACAAAAUUCUAUUUCUUCAUCUGAACUCCAACAUUUUUUCCUUAAGAUUCAACAAACACAGUUUUCAUGUUUAAAAUGUGCCACGUAUUCAUAGUGUAGGUGGGCAUUGUAGCCCGCUUGGUUGACGCUUUCAAAAGGGAAAGGUUUACAGAGUCCAAGAAGAAGCUCCAUGCUAUCCUCUCGGAUGAGGAACUUGAAUACGUCCCAUUUCUCGUUCUAAGAAACAAGGUUGAUUUGGGCUAUGCUGCCGCGGAAGAGUAAUAGCGUCGCCACCAUGGCCUUCCCAACUUCACCACUGGUAAGGGGAGAGUCAAUCUGGAUGCUGAAGAAGUUCGCCCCAUCGAAGUUUUCAUGUGUAGCAUUGCCACGAUAUGCUGAUGGUUUUGAAUGCCUCACUCAGUACAUACAAUAUUUGAGUGCAUUUGCCCGUCAUGUCAAUGAAGAUAUAUUGGCCCUCGUUCCGAGUAAAAAUCGAGAAUCUAUAGUAUUAGGUAUCACCAAUCUCGAAUUUGUAGAAUUUUCGAGUUCGGAAUGACAUUGAAAAUUCAAUUUUCCCAUUAAAUGUCCCUGUUCAUUAAAAAGAAAAUAUCAUGCCCAAUUAUUUCCUGGCUCAGAAUGGGGUCUAAAUCACAACAAAAUACGACUCAUCAUGGUUUCUUUAGCGGCAAAAUUCACGGAGAUUCCUAGCCAUCAGACUUUCUAAACUAUGCUGAAACUGAUUAUAGCCACACAAAUACAAAAGCUGAGUUCAAUUUAAAGCCAUCUAAGAAGCCUAGAGUCCAAUAACACCAUCAAGGACUUACCCAUAACUUAAUACUAACAUGGGAAUCAUCAUAACCCUCUCGAAAGCUUAAAAACAGCUUGAAAGGGUAAAACGAGCACAAUUGAUUAAUCUACACAAUUUACCAAGAUGUGCAGGCUACUACAGUGCAUAAACCUCCUUUUGCUACAUAUUCACAUGCAGGCACAUAGUAUUUUACAAGCCCGAUUACCAUUGCCUAUAAGUCACUUUCAACCAUGUCCGUGUCAAGAAGCCCUUCAUAUUCCACCUGAAGAAGCACACGAGAAUAUUAAUUAAUCUGCAUGACAGAAUUAUAAGACUAGCAACUUCCAGGUAAAUCACCUACAGUUGCUUGGUUAUAGGUUAAUUUCAUCCUCCGGUAUUGCUCUUGUGCUUGCUUUGAACGGAACAUUGCUUGAACCCGUAUUACAGAUCUCUCAACACGUUCACCCGCCUGUUUCUGGCUGAUUUUGUAGAAGUCUUCCUCCGUAUCACUUUCAUGUUUCGGAUCUACAUCUGUUUCAACAGGUUCAACUUGCAGUCCUCGAAAGCCUUUUCUCUUUAAACGCCAUCUCAAAAUUGCUUUCUCAAGCACUCCAAUUGACCAGAUGAUCUUACGGUACUGCCUUCUCUCUUGGAAGCCUCGGAAAGCAGCCUGUAUUAGAACAAAAGGAAAAUCACUUAUUAAUUUCCUGGAUUUCCUAUGCUAACAAUAAUAUCUUAGGCAUGCAACAAUGAGAAGGAAUGAGGAAAACACUAUUGUGUUUUAAUGUUCAUUGCAUUUAAUUCGUUACUGGAACACUUAUUAUGGUCUUAUAUUCUGUUAAGUUGAAAGAGACGAACAGGUGAGCUUUUUGGGAUAUUUGAAACCAAAAUGGUCCACUGGCAGACUCAGAAUGCUUUGGCCUCGACAUAAAUUAUAAUAAUCACUUUUGAAUCAGAAAAGAAUAAAAAAUAGGCAAAUAGCUUCUUAAUUUCCUGGAUUUCUUAUGCUAACUUAGGUAUGCAACAAUGAGAAGGAAUGAAGAAAACAGUGUUGUGUUUUAAUGACUUCUUAUUUUUUGGGUCCUAUAUUCUGUUAAGAUGAAAGAGAUGAACAGGUGAGCUUUUUGGGAUAUUUGAAACCAAAAUGGCCCACCGGCAGACUCAGAAUGCUUUGGACUCGACAUCAAUUAUAAUAGUCACUUUUGAAUCAGAAACGAAAAGAUGAUAAAAAUCAUCCACCACCACUACCAUGAGAUGAAAGGUAAUCUUGGUUUCCUUUCUCUUUUUCCCCUUCGGUGUCAGUUACACAUAAAUUAAACCGGUAUGAAAGGGGAGUGAGCACUUACUUGAAUUUUGAUAGCCUGUCGACGCAUAUUAAGGAAAUUCUUCCGCGUUUUCCAAGUAUGGAACCUAUGUUGAAUGUGGGCAGCAGCUGCAAUCUUUUUCUUACUGUCAUAGUUGCGAAAGGCAUGUUGGAUCUUCAUUGCUGCAAUAAUAUUCCGUGCUUCAUCCUCUGGACUGGAGAACUGAACUGCUUUAGUGUAUACUUUUAGCGAGUGUUCUCUGAAAGCAGUCUGUAUACGUGCUGCUGCAUCAGCAGCUGUGCGGUAAGCUGCCAAAGUAUCCUUCAGAUGCAACUCCUCCUCACUUAGAUUCUCAGAAUUUACAGUGUCUGUUGCAGUCAUUUGCAGCGAGCCAGAGGCAUUUCCAGCUAUUAUCAUAGACUCAAAUUGUGCCACCAAAGCCUUUUCAGACAGAUACGCAGCUAAGCCAUCAUAACCCUUUGCAGAUGCAAGAUCAGCAGCGGUGCACCCACCAGGAUUUUCUUUAGUGGGAUCUGUAACCAAGUUUGGCUUUGCCCCUGCAGAUAAGAGAGCUGCAACCAUUUUCUCCCUAUACAUAUAGAUCAUCAAAAUUGGAGAAAAAAUGACAGUUACUUCGAGACUGAUAUACAUUUGAGUCAGUAAAGAAGUCUUAAUAUAUACUCCUGGCCCUUUAGGAUACAUACAUCAGGCUUUCUUGACUGCUUAUAAUGCUAUCAUAUUUGUGUAGCCCAGUGUUUUUCUAUUUCAGAGAGAUGUAUAUGAUUUGCUUUGGCAUGAAGAGACAGAAUAACAUGGAAGUAGUGAAAUGGAGUGGAGCUGUGACAAGCAAAGGGAAAAUGGAAGAAGAUAAAAAAUGUCCUAGUUCAUUUUAUUCAAGACACUUAAAGAAACUGAAGCUGGACAACCACAGAAGAACUGCAAAUUAAAACAACAAAGAACAUGUCCAUACCUUCCAUAAUAUGCUGCCCAGUGCAUUGCUGUCCAUCCAUGUUUAUCGCGAAAAUCUAAUGAUAAGCCUGACCAUGAAAACAAAUAAACUGCCCAAGUGUAACCGAUAAUAGCACAUAAAUGGAUUACUCCAAGGCCUUGAGCAUCGUAUUCUGUGGUUUUACAGCCCUCAAGUACUCUUUCCAAUAGCCAUUCCUUUAUUGUGUUUUUUAAAGAAAGUUCAAACAAACCAUCUUUUGCUUGUGCAACUGAAAUUCUGCUGUCCUCAAUUGACUUAAUCAAGUAUGCCCAACUAUUAGAAAUAUUAGAAGUUUUGUGUGCAAACUUCUUAGCCUCCUUCAGUUUAGCCGGUGACACUUUACUAGAUAGAACAUUAAGGGUCUUGGAAGUAGAAAAGAGCAAAUAAGCAAGUCUCAUCUGAAGAUGGAACUCUUCCCACUUGGAUUUGUCUUCUGAAAAAACAACCGAAUCAUGUACUGAAGGAGCACGGUACUCAAAAUUCAAAAUUUGGCUGAUGGGUUUGGAUCCAUCCAAACUCAAACAUAGAUUUACUAGUCCAGGGGAAUGCGGUGACACCAUACAGCUAUAGACCCCAGCCUGGACAAUUUCUGCUGGAACAAAAGCAUCUCCACAGAUACAGAACAGAUUGGACUUUGCCAGAUGCAGAUACUGUUCAUGGAAAUAUCCAGUGACUAGAAUCUGUAACCAAGAUUAAAUAGAGGUCAAAAAUACAAAGAAGAAGAAGAAGCUGUGUUCUUAUUUUAUGAAUAUGUUUUGAGCUAUUCAAACAGAUUUCUAAUGGCUGAUUCUAUUUUCAGAUUGAUGAAUCCCAUAAUGCCACGAAAGGUUCAACCAGUUAACAUGAAAUACCAGCCGACCAAGAAUUUUCAAAACUUUUAUCUCAUGUCACAAGACAUUUUUUUCUCCACAAAUAAGCAAAAGCCAAAAAAUCAGCUCCUUUUUACAUUCAAACCAUCAACAAAGAAUUAAAGCCAUAAUAGACACCACAAGGAUAUCAACAGAGGAUUGUAUGAGAAGUAAAUGAACCUUGGUUGUUUCAUUUGAAAAGCCCCACGCAGGUGAGAAAUCAGUUAUGAUAAACAUUUGUUCUUGAAUAGAAGAUUGAUGUUGAUCCAUUCCUGGAGAAGCAAACGAAUCAUAACCGGAUGAAAUCGGAGAUUCAACCGUUGCAUCAUCUACAGAAACAGGAGAGUCAUCUAUGAUGGAAUUCAUCCACCUUCCAAAACUAUCCUGACUUUGCAAACCAUCAUUAAUCAAAAUAUCCAAUGAAUCACGAGCACCCAGGACAACAGAAUUCUUCCUCUGAGCAUCCAAAUAUACUUGGGAACCUGUUAACUGUCUGUAAACAUUAUCUGGACCACUGAACUGAGCGUUACCGUUCCUAACAACAGCCUCAGUUAAAUUGCCAAACGCAGACUUUUCUGCUGAUAAUUGGUAGCCUGAAAGAGUGCUCCCCUGCAAAGAAAAUUAAUUAGUUACUUUACUCCAAUAUUUAACCAAUAAUUAUAAUCAAGCAAGCAAACUGAAGUAAUUUGAGAAAUCUCCAAAACAUCAAUAAAUGCAACAUUACAGCAGAUGUCAGUAGAGGUCUAAAAGCAUUGAAUUCAGAAUUUUCGAUAAUUAUAAUGGAAAGAGAUGCAUGGAAAUUAAUUGAUAAACUUCUUCAUCCUAACUAGCAGAACAGAGUGACACUGCCACAAGAAAUUUGACAGGCCGACUGGCAUUUUAUUAUAAAUGAACAUAGAUUAUAUUUUAAAAAGGUUGACUGCUAAACUGCAAGUACCGCCAAGCGAAAUCAAAUGAGUAAAAGAAUUAAACGCUUACAUGUGGAGCAAAAGGAUAUAGGAAAAUAACUUAGAAUUGCAAAUUAUUCUGCUUACAUCGUUAACAGACCCCUUAACUGCAAUCUGAUUCUGUUGGUCAAAGGAUGGAAUCUUAUCUGUUGACAAUCAAAACAAAAGAUCCAAAAAAAAGAAAGGAAGGAAGAGAAAAAAGGAAAAAUUAGGAUACAGACAGACACCUAUAAAUGGAUUUCCAAGCUAUUGAAACUGCAUGAUUGUCACAUGGAGCAUCUAGUCUGUUACCUCCUCCAUGCAAGAUUGAAUUGCCAGGAUCAUUUGUCAACAGCUCAUCCCAUUCAAGUGUAUUAAGCUCAUGAAGCCUGAUUGCAUGAUUAAUGACAGUUAAGCUGUCACUGGGCCCUGAUAAAUCUACAUAAAAAGAGAACAGUAAGAUUGAAUGAUAUGCAAUUUUGUAAAUAGAGGAAAGAUUAUGGACUGCCGAAUAAAAUUUUGAGGAUUAGAUGCUUAAAACCAUCAAGAAUAAAGAUCAUAACAGUGAAUGUUUAUCAUAUAAACCUUGCUAAACCGAAAACUCUUGCUAUAACAUGUAGAACGUGCAAGUUCUGUAAUAUUACCAAGAUCUUUCUCGCCUGCAUAAUAUCCACGAGCAGCUCCAGAAUCAGAUUCUUCUGAUAAAAGCCCGGGAGCAGACUGAUCAGAGACUGAACUAGAAUGUGAAUUCACAGGUGUGGCUGGAGAACCCUGUAAUUGUAUCAUAAGUCAACCACAACCCAAAAUAAGGUUUAAACAACCAUAUGUUUACUGGAAUCAACAACAGAAACUUGCGCACAAAUACACACUGAGACAGAGACAGCUUAUUUCAAAAUGAAAAUAUGACCCCUCCUCUGUCAUGAAAUAAAAAGAAGCUCAACAAUAUGCUAGAGUACUUGACACUGCUAGCUUUUUUCCUCGAAGUAUAAAUAAGAAGAAGUUUAAAAAUAUGCUAGUCUUUGAAACUAACUUUUUCCCAAAAAGUACUUGUAGACAAAAUUAAGGAUCUUCUUGGAAUGAUAAUCACAGUAUGAUUGAAUUCCCUUGUUCACAAUAAUAAUAAUUAUCUUUCUGAACAAAAAUAGAAAGGAGGAAAGCACCAUGUCCAAAUAUUCUUUAUGUAGAAAUGCAGUUUCUAUGUGGCACUACAUUCAAACCUCACCAAGGGAAAAGCCUGCUAUAUGCAACCAGCAUCUGCAUGCUAUGACUCAUUGGUGAAAAUACAAAACCAAAGAUAACAUAUCGAUGACAACAAAAUUUCAAAAACAAAGCACUUUAGUAACAGAUAAAAGGCAACAAUGAACCAACCUCCUGGGUCUCACGGUAGUGAACAAGCACUACAUGUUCCAAAGUCCUGUAACAAACACAAAAUUGAAAGCAAAAGUAUGAAUGCUCCAUCAAAACCCAGAAACACAAAGCGAGAGAGAGGGAGAGGGAGAGGGAGAAGGAGAGGGAGAGGGAGAGAGAGGGGGGGAUUCAUCUUCUCUAAACCAAUCAUCAUGUCAACUUUUUUUUAUGCCAUGGAUACAUUCGAGCUUUAAUUGUUACAUACUUGUCUAGCAGCCAAUAACACCUGCGAACAAAGGUCGGGAUAUCUUGGCCAUGUGCAUAGUAUACAUGAAUCCUCUCUUCAUUACCAACCUACACCAGGAAACAAAUGAAAAUUCAUCAUACCAGAGACUUUUCAACAGCACAGAUAAUGAUGCACUGAUUAACUACAUCCUAAAUCAUCUUAAAGAAUAAUAUGACAAUCUGAGAUUCAAAAAUAAACUCAAGUACAUUUGGAGGAACAAUGUCAGUCAACUAAGCUGCAUAAAUUUAAUCUGAAGCCAUUUGUAACAUCUUAGAAAUGAAGAGUUUUACUUAUUAUCUGUGAAAAUAUAUUCAAAGUUAAACUCAAAGAAUCUAUUAUAAGAAAAAAGUCAGUUAAUGAAACUGCCUCUAGUUGGUUCACAUAUAACACUUCAGAAAAUGAGAGAUCUCACUUUUAAGUGUUCAUGAGCUUCUUUAACAGUCUUCCCAUCUUUUUUCUUCUUCCAGUUAUGACCAUCUUUUCGGAAGUUCCUAAGCAUCUUGCGGUCAAACAAUACAAUUGUGCCACCUGUUACAUUACAGAAAAUCAAAACCGGAGAAACACUAAUAAAUGAAGGGUUGUUUGACCCUCUAUAUUACUUGAUGGAAGGAGAAUCUUAAUGACCCAUCAAGAUGCAUUCAAAACCAACAAGAAAUAUGUCCAUUUGGCAUAUGCCAUGCUGACCAUUGCUCCAGUUCUGAUCAUUUGCACAUGAAUGGUAGAAAGGCUUUACCAGCAUCCAUCAGCAGGCAUUCAGAUUAUCAAUAGCAUUUGCAUGAAAAUAAACUCUACUAUGGGAAGGGCAAAACUUAACCAGGUAAAGUAAAAUUACAAGCAAAUAAAACCAGAGGAACAGUGAAAUUAGACAUGGAUGAAUGAAUAUGGUAAUUAAAAUUUGCAAAAACAUGGUAGCAAGAAAAGAAUAAAAUGAUGGAAAUAUUACAUGUUAUAACUCUCAUGUUCAGCAGGAACCUCAAAGUGGCUGAGCAUAUUAGAAUAUUACUUGUAUCAAAACAAAAAUUAUUUAUCAUAAAAUUUUCUUUGCAAGGCCAAAACCAUUCAACUAUAUUCAUGCAAGAACUAAAAAUAACAUAUACUUACUCAUGGGUAAUUUUACUGGCUUUACAUUGAUGGUGAAAUACUUGUGAUUGCAAAGCAUUGCAUGGAUUUCAUUUGGACGGAGCCAUCUUGUUCUAGAUUCCUCCAUUAUGUUUGGAACAUCCAAAUCUAUCAUAUAACAAUGUUAUCAUUGCUAGAAUAAGUAUAACUAUAACUAUUUGUAAUAAUAAUAAAUAAAUAAAACAUUAGAUAAGCAACACCAGAUGAAUAUAUACGAAAGACUACAAAGAAAUGAUGGUUCGCCAUAGAAACAAUAAGAGCAUAGAGUAAAUAAAUCCGCACAACUUGUCCUCCCCAACCCCACUUCCCGGCAAGAAUUCUAGUUUUGCUAUUCCACCCUCUAUGAUUAACAUCUUUCUCUCUUCAAUUUACCUCCUCUUCACCUUUUUAACCAUUGAAAUUCAUUGCACAUCAGCAUCUUUUCAUUCGAUCAAAAUUUAUGAGAAAAGCAUCCAUUUCAAAAUCCGCCCAUUUUCUCCCCACCCAUAUUUUUCCAAUCCUUCACACAAUGUUCCCAUCAACCCCGAAUGCUAAAUAAUUAUAUAUGAAAAAAAGGAAGAAGACAAUUCAUCUUUAAAACCUAAGUUGGCUUGGUUGGUCCCACUGAAAUGCCACAGAGCGAGCCAUGACUCCAACGUAACCAGAUAUUAGGUGCUCGACAAAAUGAAAGCAGCAAAAAGCAGCUUAAUAAAAUCAAGAAACAAAUAUACAACAAAACAAGCAACUAAUUCCAGCUAGCUAGAGAGCAAAAACCAAACCAGACAAUAUCAGAAAAGCAAAGCUACAUAACAAGCCAAAAACAUAUAAAAUUACAGCGUGCUUUUGCUCCCCAAACCGAUAAUAAGAAAAGAAAAAAAAACUUUCUCCAGUGUAUACCAAGCCAUGCCCUAAGCAGCUAAUUUCCAAUUUGAAAAAUUUGAACCAAAGUACAAAAAAAAAUCAGUACCUCGAAGAGUAUGAAAUCCAUGAAUCUCUGAUCCUACAAGUCGGUCCGAGAAUCCACUUUCCAUUUCAAAAAACGCAUAAAAAAGGUAACCUGGUAAACGAAAAUCGUCGACUAAAUUAACAAUCAAACGAUGAUUAACAACACCAAGGUAUCAUAAUUUGACACAAAAUUAACUGUUUAAAGCCGAGCCGAGAGAGAAAUGAAGGGCACACGGAAGAAACGCUUUUCUCAAAUUUUCUAGCCAACAAGUCAGUUUAAACUUUAAAGUGACAGAGGAGCUGAGAUUGAGCUGAUUACUAGUAGAUAUAUACACGCGCGAGCGCGCGCGUAUAAAAAGGAAUGAGAAGACUUUUUAGUAGCUUUUCUCCACUCUCUUUUUUUUCUCUCUUUUUUCUUUCUUUUGAUGGUGAUAAACUGAUAAUUAGUUUUCUCAGUUAUUAUUUGUUAUUGCUGAGUUGUAAAGUAAAAUGAUAAUAGAGCUGCUUCUUCUUCUUUUCUUCAAACAGAUAAUAAUAGUUGUUUAGUUUGGAAUUAUAAUUAAUUAUGAUGUUGAAAUCCUCAAAUUUAAUUUAAUUAAGAGAUCAUGUUUGGAAAUUUUUUAGAGGUUAAAAAUUAAAUUUAAUAUUUAAAAAUAUUAUAAAAAUAAAUUAGAGAUCAAUCUUUUUAAUUUAUAAUUUUUUAAAAAAAUAAUAUUAAAAUUAAAAUUAAAUUUUAUAAAAUAUUUAUUAAGCGAACCUUUAAAUAAAUAAAAUGAAAGUAACAAAAAUAAUAUAAAAAUAAAUUGAAUUGAGUUUUUUUUAAUAUAUAAAUUAAAUUUAUUUAUUUAUUAAAUGUAAAUUAAAUAUUAUAAUUAAAUUUGUAAAGACUUGAUAAAUUGUAAUUCCAGUAGUGUAAAAUAUCAUGUAUGAUCCCUCAGUUGCUUACCGUUGAUUAAAUUUGAUCCCGUGCUUUAUUUUCAACUGAAGGCAAUUUGAAAUCCUCGUUUAAUUAGAUAGUAAUUGAAUGUUUAGUAAAAAAUGUAAUGGAUUAUUUGUUUUUGUGUUUUAAAAAUAUUUAAAAAAAAAAUAAAAAAUUUUAUUUUUUAUUUUAAAUUAAUAUUUAUUUAUAUUUAGUAAAAAAGACCCUGCAGGGUUUGCUAAGUGCUAGCUACUUUCUUGAUAACCAGGUGUUUAACUUUGUGUGAUUUUUUAAAAAUUAUUUUUGAUAUAGUAUAUGAAAAUAAUUUAAAAAUAUUAAUUUAAAGUAAAUAAAAAAAUAAAAAACUUUCAAACUUUUAAAAAAAUGUUUUUUGUUUUUUAAAUGCAAAAAUAAAUAGAGCAUUUAAUAUUAUAAAAAACUAUCGAUCAUAAACUGUUAAUGAAGAUCAAGAACCUUGAUGAGAGAGGAAAAUACAAAACUUUCUAGCUCCUUUACAGCUAAAAUCCCCGUGAUUUGAAGAACUCUCCAGGUAAAAGUAAUAAUAACGACGGCGACUUGAAUUUUGAAAUGCAUUGAGGAUCAGUGCUUACCUUAUUUCGAAAGGAUUGACAUUUUAAAGGGAAAUAAAGGUAAUAAUAUUUUCUUAAUUAAUGGACCGUGGACAGGUGAGAAACACACGAUUGCAAAGACUAUCUGAUUUUGUCAAAAUGACACGUGUAUGGUUAAAUUUUGCAAAACUCGAGGGCCCGUUAAAUAAUAUCACUUGCAAAACACGGUGCUUUCAGGAUCAUUGUCUGGUUGUUGUUUUUUUAAAAAAUAUUUUAAAUAUUAAUAUAUCAAAAUAAAAUAAAAUUUUAGAAGAUGCAGCCGCGAUUUCAAGCACAGCUCUCUCAACACAGAUUUUUAGGUGAGGGGUAUCACUUGACAGCUUCGAUUUGUGUACGGCGAGUUUGAUGACUUUAUGCUCCUCUGAUGUGAAAGCUUUAAUUAUAUUUUUUUCUUUCUUUAUCAUGACUUCUUCUCUCUAUUAUAUCAUGACGACUUCUUUGUUGUUUGUUUGUGCGCGAGCGCGACUCCCCUCAUAUAAAUUAUGUAUUUCAUGCUUUUCAUGAGCUUAAACAAACAGACCUUUAAAUAAUAUUUCGUAUUGUAAUAUUAAUUAUUUUUUAUAUAACAAUAUAUAAAAAUAAUAUUUUUUAUUUUAAAAUUUUAUUUUUUACAUUAUUAUAUCAAAACAUGAAAAAAAUUAAUUCAAAAUAAAAAAAAUUCAAAUUUUAGCAAAAAUACGGCUAAGCUGCAUUGCCUAAAUGGUAUUAAAUUAUACAAUUACUAGUUAUAUUUUUUAAAAAUUAAUAAAUUAAUCCUCUAGUUUCAAUGAUUAUCUGUAAAUCUAUUAUGUUUUUAAAAUCUCCAAAUAACUUAGAGCUAUUUGUUAUUAUAUUAGUAGUUAUUUUUUAAAGUAUUUUUUAUUUUAAAAUAAUUAUUUUAAAAAAAUUACCAAUACUAACAUGUUAAAAUAAUUUUAAAAUAAAAAUAAUAAUUUUUUAAAAAAUAUUUUUAUAACACAGAAACAAUCAGUUUCUUCAUCUCGUUCUGUCAGAUUUUCAAAAUGACGUAUAACAAAAAAACAAAGGCAGAACCACCCCCCACGAGAAAAAUAAUUAGCUCGUUAAAUCAUGUGCAAUCUGCAUUUAAAUAAAAGACGGGUCUAAAUUAGUAAAUCUCUGUAUAGAGUUGUCUAAUUUUCAACAGUUAUUAUUUCUGUCGCCUUUUCACAUUCCAAUCAACUCUGCUAGUCUGGGUUGAUUAGUUGGAUUAUAAAAUCUUGUCUGAAUUCCUCAUUGGUUCUGCCCCCUUUUUUUUUUCCCGCUCUCUGGUAGGAGUGCAGUAAUGUUUCACUUUGCACGCUCAAACUUUUGUUUUUAAAACAUAUCGUACAUGUUAAAUGUUUAAUAAUAGUAAAACACAUUGUACUAUUCACAUGAAAUCCAUACAAAUUGUUUCCAUUGAUUUGCGGAAAGUAGCUCUCAGCUGCUUUCUGCAAAACUGCAGAAAAUGAAAAGUUUCACUCUUUACUAUUCGCUUAAGUGAAUAGUAAAGAGCUUAAUUUCACUGUUCUAACUGAACCGGAUCCAGUAAAAAGCUAAAUGUAUUGAACCAGUCCGAUCCAAUUAAAAAAAAUUAAUUUUUAUUUUUAUUUUUAAUUGUGUUUUAUUCAAAAAAUUAGAAGGAGAUCUUUUGAUGACGUAGAUUUUGCAGAAUUUGAUCGCAAUUCCAAUUUUGUUCUUUAUGAUAUUUUACUGGUGUUGUUGCGCGCUUACGAAACUAAGAAAACUGUAGUCCUUGUCGGAUGGAUUUCGUACGUGAUGAAAUUGUAGAUAGUUUAAUGAAACAAUAAAAAAUAUUUGAUAUAAGUAUUAUUUAUUUCAUGAUAUAAUAUCAGUAGUUAAAUCUACAAUAUUUAAAUUAAAAAUCAUCAAUAUUAAUAUAUAUUUUUUAUAUAUAUUAUAUAACUUCAAUUUGAAAAGCAUUAUUUUAACCAAACACAUUAAAUUAUUUUUUGUUCAGCCUUAAUUUUAACCACAGUUUUAAUUAAACAUAUAUAAAUACCAAACCAAUCUCAACCAAAAAUACUUUUUGUAAAAUAAUUUUUUUCAAAUCACAACUACAAAAAUUAUCACAAUACCGAACAUAAGAAUUCAUCUUACCCAAGUAGAGAUUCUUCGUAGAGGUGAAGUUUAGAAUACCGUUUUAUUUUUUUAAUUAUUUUUAAUAAUUUUAAUACAUAAUGUCAAAAAUAAAAACUGAGAAAAAAUAUUAAUAUAACUUUUAUUUGCAAGGCACUUUGCACGCUAGUAGACAGUGUUCAUAACUCUCACACUGUCCAUUAGAUAAUUAAUAUAGCCAAAUAAGCAUUUAGUUUAAUGGUAAAAACAAUUACAUGAGAGAUGAAAGGGAUUUGUAAUGGAACAAUAAAAGUCGACAAAUGGCAAGGAUUUGUCAAUUAAGCAGACAGGAUGGGAUUUGGAGUCAUGGAACUUGGGCGGUUCCAAUCUUUUCAUGUCCCCCACUAAUUUUUUUUUAAUUAAAAUGAAUGUGUAAAUCAAUUUUUACGUGUUUUUAAUAAUUUUAUAAACUCUAGAAUUAAUUAUCAUAUAAUUUUUUAGUAAUUAUGAUAUUUAUAAAACUUGAACUGAUAAUCUUUAAAGAACAAAUUUAAAAUCUAAUUAGUUGAGCUAUACUUUUUGAGUUACUUCACUAAUUUAUUAAAACUUCAACAUGAAAAGUCGGUGUAGAUUGUUUUUUCAUUAAAAUCAUGUUUUGUGAGUUUUUAAUUAUUUUAAUAUACUGAUAUUAAUAAUAAUUUUUUUAAAAAUAAAAAGUAUAUUAUUUUUUAUAUUUUUUCAAAUAAAAAACACCCACUAUUAUAUAUUAUAUAUACAUACUGUCUGAGCGACAACUCUCCUAACGUGGCGGAAGCUGAAAAACUUCAAUGCUAUUUGCUCAUCCCUGUAGCGAAUACCUUGAGCGUUGAAGUUCGACAACGACUACUGGUCACUUGAUGGUUCAUAAAUUUAAUUCUCAAACUUUUUUUUUUUUUACUUGAAAAUUAUAUAUAUAUAUAUGAAUUUAUUUAAUUUUUUAUUAAUUAUAAUAAUAAUAAUAAAAUUUAAACUCGUAACUAUUUAAUUAAUAAAAUUUUAAUUUUAUAUUAAAAAACCAUCUUAAUCUAAAAUUUUAGAUUUUUAGAUUAAUAUAAUUUUUUUAAAAAAAAAAUAUAUACCAUGCACAUGUUUCAACAAAACAUUGAAUGGAGUAGUUGAGAUCCAUGCAACUAUGUUAUGGUGAUUGAUAAUUCAGGAGCACCUAACAAGACGUACGCCUGUUGUAGCUAAUUUAGCUCCACCUACUUAUUUAUUGAUUGUCAAAUAAUUUUUUAAGGUAAAAAAAUAUAAUUAUAAAUCAAUAUAUAUAUAUAUAUAUAUAUAUUUAAUUAAAAAUAAUUAGAAUUAUUUGUGCUAAUAAAUAGAAAAAAUAAAGUGUUAAUGUUUUUAUUUAACUCGUAUUACUACAAGUUAAAUAAUUUUUUUCUGAUGCAAGAAAAUUAAUAUGUAUGUAUUAUUAAAGUGUUUUUUUACUUUAAAAAACAAAUAUAAUCGCAAAUUAAAAAACCAAUACUUAUAUGUAAUAAAAUAUAAUAAAGAUUAUAUGUGUUAAUAAAAACAUAAAAGAUUUUAAGCUAAUUUUUACAGUGGUAGAAAAAUAAAACAAUAUUGCAAUUGAUACAAUGAAACACCUUUUUCUUAGUAUUUAUAUAAUAAUUUUUUUAUAAAAAUAAAAAAAAUUACAAAAUAAUAGAUAUAAGAACAAAAAAAAUGGUAUAAAUAGACAAAGUAUAAAGUGAUAAUUAUUCAAAGUAUAAAAAAUAAAAAAUAAUAUUUUUUUAGAUUAAAAUAUAUAGAAAAAAAACUAAAAAAACAUUAGAAAAAAAAACGGUGAUAGAUAGGUCAAUUGUAAAAUAACAAAAAUACUAAGCAUAAAGGGCAAAGAAUAUAAAGAAAACUUGUUUUAAGAAAAAAAAACAAAAAUUACAAGUUUCCCACUGCUACGAUAAAAAAAUUAGCAAAAUCUACAUUUUUUCCAUUUCUUCAAGAAAACACUGUUUUAGCAUAUGUAUAAUAUUCGCAAUCAUUAUUUAUCCCUUAAAGUAUCAUAAUUUAGGAUUUUAUGGUGUUGCUAAUUUUUUUAUUUUUUUAAUACGUUAUUGAAAGUGCAUGUUCGUUAUAUUUAAAAUGCAUAAUUGAUGCAUAGGAAUAUCCAUGGUUUCCAUAAUAUAAUAAAUACAUAUUGUAGCACAUUCAUUAACCUUUUUAUUAGCUUCACGGUAUUCCGAAGCUGAUUCCUGUACAGUGACUUAUUGUUUAUAUAAUCAAAGAAUUCAUGAGAAUUUUUUGUUCGGUAUGGAGGAUAAAGCGUGUGUGAAAACUAAAAGCUCCACGAAUGAUAUCAAAACUAAGAUGAAGUUCCACCUGAAGAUUUUGCCAAGUCAGAAGACAACACUCGAAGGAAAGAACCUUUUCCGGUGAAGUGGCUGGCAUGAGUAUUAGUUUCGGAAGAAUAUGUUGAACAAAGCAAAACCAAUUUCGAUGCAUAAAAAUCUAACGUCGAGGACUGUCCGGGAAGGGGUCUUCUUCUAGUCCUAAGCCUGUAAAUGCAAUCCAUUCUCUUGUUGUUGACUUUAGACUAUCGAACGGCUGAUCCUAUGGUUGCCCACCAUGCCAUACCUAUGGACUAUCCGGUUAAACUUCAAUAAAUCUUGCUGUAGGUUGAAGAAGAUUCAAGAAUUCUGGGGAGAUUAUUUUAGUUAAAUUCUUGUAAUUGACAAAAUAAAUACUUUAGAAAGGGAGAAAAGUUAUUUCAUGGACUCGCACAAACAUCGUGGGCCUUCUACUUUUUUAAUUUGAAGGUCCACGAUCAAUAUCCUGCGUCAGCCUCAGGUCAGGUCCAGGGGCGGAAUUAAUUUGUUGGUGUAAUAAAACCCAUCUCAUCUGAGCCUCAGCAAAAUAAAUACUGAAAGGCCCAGGAUGCAGCCAAUCGCCAUUAUCAGCCUAGUCAUUAGCCCCAUAACAUUCUAACAUGUCAAGAAUCUCUCUGCUUGCGGUGGAAGAAGCAUAGACAGCAAGCAAAGAAAUUCUAUUAACGGAGGCUAGUCAUCAGCCCCAUUUUACUAAAACCACCAAGAAAAAUCCCACAACUCACACAAGCUCCUCGAUACCAGGCAUAGCUAAAAUGGAGGCCAAAUGGUGCGUUCCUGUGACAAUGGCAAUGCUAGUAAUGUUAGUGGUUGUAGUAAGUGGAGAUGAAUCAUCUCCGGUAAAGAUCUUAGUGAAGAUAGUGAAGGGGAAGGUGGUGUGUGACAAGGGAUUGGGAGUGCAAAGGCUUGUCUGCUCAUUGCUGCAACCAAACCAUUUCUGAUUAUUUCCAGACCUACCACUUCGAAAACUUGUUUUCGAAACGCAACACUCCUUUUGGGAUCACCAUUCUUUUAUUACUGCAGCCGCAGCAUACCAGCCUCUUGGAUUUGGUACCACUGGAGAGGGAAACUUGUGGGGCAGAAGGAAGUUGCUGCUUUCCUUGGGCAUGUUGGCAGCAAAACCUCAUGUGAGUAAGAGAAAAAUCAACACUAACUGAUUCACUUUUGAAAUUUGGGUUUUUCUAUCAUAGAUAGAUAGAUUGAGUGAUCCUUGUUCUCUCAUUAGCCUGGGGUUUGUGCUGCAGCAAGGAAAUGAGUCCCAGCAAGUUAUACUGCGAUGAUUACUAUGAGUAUGCAUAUCCUUGCACCCCUGGAGUUUCAUAUCAUGGCAGAGGUGCCUCAAGUAAUCCAUACCCAUCAUGUUGUUUUGAAAAAAAAAACAUAGAAAAUUAAGUCUAUACCUAGAAAAAAUAAUAAGAAUAUCUUUAAUUAAUAAGACGUGACUAAUUCCUCCUUAAAUACUAUAAAAUUACCCGUAGUAUUUCACUAUUUCCAUUCCCCCCCCACACGUAUUUAUAUUUAUUUACUACUAAUAAUAUGUGAUAAUCGGUUUUGCUAAAAGUAAAGUAAAUAAAUAAACUCGAGACCUUAACCCCUUCUUAUUUUGGAGGAACCAGGUAAUUUUACAACCCCGUCAGGAUUAGUGAUUCGUGGGAUGUAAUGUUUUUCAAUUUAUUUAUGUCAGUACUUACUGUGCGUGUAAGGAUUAUUAUGUAUUAUAUCAUCUAUGAAUUUAAUAUUUGAAUAACUAAUUUUACAAUAUACACACACACACACAUUUGUCCGCUUCAGAUUAUUUAUUUAUAAACUUAAAAAAUUGUUGAAUAUUAAGGUUUUUUUUUACAAUAUCAUUAAAUCAUAUCAAUCAGUUUUAUCUUGAAAUUUAUCAACUCUACUCCUUGUCUUACUCAAGUUUCAAAUAAAAUUAUUUGGGAACUAAUUUAAAAUGAAUUAUUCAAUUUAAUGGAUCAAAAUAUAACUUGAAUGACAAGUAAAAAUAUGACAUGACUUUUAAAAAAACUUUAAAAUGAUUUUUUUUUAUAUUAGGACGAUACCAAAUUGGAUCGACCUCAGUCACCUUGCGAUUUGAAUCAUGGACUUCAAUAGGUUUAAUAACUUUGUUAUUUUUAUAAAUUAUUUUUAUUUAACUUUAUGAUACCAUUAGAUGCUUUUAAAAUCGAGCAUCAAAUCUAAAAAAAAUAUUUAUUUGAAAUUAUGAUAACCCUAUAGAAAGUAGAAAAAAAAACUAUGAAUUCUAUUUCUCAACUAAUCCAAUAUUAAAUAAGAGUGAAUAAAAAAAACAAAUAAAAAAAUUAAAGAAUCAUAAAAUAAUAUAUAUAUAUAUAUAAGGUUUGAUGGUAAACCUACUAAACAUGUGAAUUAGGUAAUCAGGUUCAAAAUAUCAAACUCUAAAACCAGUUAAUGAACUCUAUCGAGAUUAAUAACUUAUUUGUUUUCUAAAUUAUUUGCAAAAUCGAGUGUUAGACCAAUCCUGAGAUUUUUUAAAAACUAUGAUAAUCUCAUAUAAUACAAAAUGAAAAAAAAUAAAAAUUAAUUUUUAAUCAAUAUAAUAUAAAAUGAUGAAAUUAAAAAAAUAAAUUUAUAUAAAAAAAAAAAAGUUAAAAUCGUUAUACACGUCAACGGGCCCAUGAACUCUCUAAAAUCUAAUAACAUGUUUUUUUCCGAAACUAUUUUUUUAACUAUAUGAUAAAAAGAAAAAUGCACAUGAUAUAAUCAAGUUCAAUUAGAAAAAAAAAAAAUACCCAUUAAACCUGUAAAUAGAGGCAACCAGGGUUGUCUUACCAAAUUGCAAACCAGGUUAUUGAUUCCAUAAAGUUUAAUAACCUAGUUUUUUUAUAAAAAAAAAAUUUUAUUUAACUAUAUUUUUUUAAAAAAUAGAUCAUGCCAUAAUACCAACGAUAUUUUUCCGAUACUAACCCAAUAUCGAGAUUUUUUUUGAUACUACAAUAAUCAUAUAAAGGCAAAUUAAAAUAAAUUAUCUACUCUAAAUCCCCACAGACACAUCAUAGAAGAACUGAAUUAAAAAAAAAAAAAAUAACCAAAGAAAAAAAAGAGUCAAAAUGCAAAAAAAAAAAAAAAAACACUAUGGAUUACUAUAGUAAAAUGUGUUUUUCCCACACCUUUUAGCUUUAUUUAUAAUAAAAAGAAAAAUAGACGGUCACAUAAUCAAGUUCAAUUAGAAAAAAAAAUACCUUGCUAACCUACAAACAAAGACAACCAGGGUUAUCUAGCCAAGCUCGCAAACCAGAUUAUUGACUCCACAUAUUUUAAUAACCUAGUUUUUUUGAAAUUAUUUUUUAUUUCAUAAAAUAUUUUAAAAAUAGAUCAUAUUGUUGUGCUGUAAUAUUUUUUUAAUACUAACCCAAUACUGAGAUAUUUUUUUAACAUUGCAAUAAUCAUAUAAAAAUAAAUUAAAAUAAAUUUUCUACUCUAAAUUCCUAUAAAUAUAUCAUAUAAAAAGAAUUGAAUUAAAAAAAACCAAUAACCAAAGAAAAAAAAUAAAAGUCAAAAUGAAAUAAAAAAAACAACAACACCAUGAUUACCCGUGAUAAUGGGUGUGGGGAAACAAUAUUUCUCCAUAUUCUAGCUUUAUUUACAAAAUAACAAUAAACACCGGCGGUUCAUGGCACGAGGUGGGCACGUUGGGGCCACCUCCUCCAUGUUCCUUGUGGUUUUUUAAAUUUUAAGCUAAGGUCGAUGCUUUCCAGCCGAGUGGGUACAUGGGCUUCAGCUAGAUUGCUAUUCAAAAGUUUUCGCAUGCUGCUAUAUUUUUAUUUUUAUUUUUUCAUAACACGAUACAACUACCAUUAAUGUUCGAAAUCUAGAACAACUAGACUUAGAGUAAAAAGGUAAAAGAAAUUACCUGAGAGAAAAUAAUUGUCUGGGUGCAAAAUAAUUGAUUUUGCUCCUUUUUCUUGAGGAUCAACAAUACUUUUACAGAAACGAUCUAGCAAGUGGUCCAGUAAUAAAAGAUUGGAACUAAAAAAUUUACUUUUCUUGUGAUUUUAAAUUCGAACUCUAUGGUUGUGAUAUAAUAAUCACUGAAAACUUGUAUGAUCGUUAACUUCAGGACUCGUGGAAUUAGUUGAGGUACGCGCAAGCUGGCCUGGACACCCACAUUAAUAAUAAUAAUAAAAACUUUUAUAGAAUAUCUUUAUAUCAAUUUGGAUGUAAAUUUUAAUUAGAUAUUAUUUUAAAAUAAUUUCAAAAAUACACUAGUACUAAUUUGGUGCUUUCAAAAGAGAGGACAAACCCCAUUAAUGUUCAAAAUCUAAAACAGCUAGACUUUGAGUAAAAAGGUAAAAGAAAUUACCUGAGAGCAAAUAAUUGUCUGAGUGCAAAAUGAUUGAUUUUGUAUAAAAAUCAAUAUGAUAUUUUACAUUCUUUAUAUAAAAAACAACCGAGUAAAAAACAUAUUAUUUGAAGUGCUAAAUACUAAAAUUCCGGAUCAAGAUUGUUAAAGAGGGGACAAACCUCCACCGAAUCCUUUCCUCAAGAUCUGUAAUCGAUGUGAUAUUUUACGUUUUUUAUAUAAAAAACAACUGAGUAGAUUUUUGCUGACAGAAUAAAAGAUUCGGAGUGAAUUAUUUCUUUCAGAAUAUCGCCUAAACAUACUAUUUGAAGUGCUCGUGCUUUCCAUGUUUUAUUGAUUAUAAUUAAUAUUUUAAUUUGCAAGGCUUCGAAAAAAGAAACCCUGAGAUACGAGUUAAAGAUUCACAGUAAAAUAAAAAUAAAACCAGCCUAGCAUGAUUCUCGAGGAUUGAUGAGGUAAAAUUAGAAGAGUAAAUUAUUUUCAAGUCUUGAAAUUAUUGAAGAGAUUAAUUCCCCAUACAUGUCAUAUCUAACAGUCAGGGAUCGUGGGUUGGAUAAAUAAAUAAAUUUUAUGAGCCCAUUUUCAAUUUAAAAUACCCACCACAACCAUAGCAGCCACAUGAAAUUUUAAAAAGUCAUUGUUAAAAAAACACAUACAUUUACAUUUCAAAACAUUAAAAUACAAAUCCCCGUCCAUAAAUAAUUGCUUGUGAAAAUAUUCCUAAAUGUAAAAUAAAGCUUAAAAUCCAAUUUUUGUGACACACGCAUGGAUGUUCGAGGUCUAAUUAAAAUUAAAUAAUUUUUUUAAAAUUGUUUUGCUGACAUAAAUGCUAUAGCAUGGAAUAUUAAAAUAUUCAGGACCAAUUACAAACGAGUGGGAAAAUAAUAUAAAAAAACUCCUAGUGUAAAGCCUUGUACCGUAUUGAUAAUAAAUUUUUUAUUUUUUAUUCAACAGCCCACAUGUGUGUGUGUCCACGUCGAAACUCAUCUUCUCUUUCGAGGCUCGUGAACAGAGAUUUUUGUUUGUUUAUUGAAAAUCAAGAAAAAAAAAUAUUUCGUCUGGAUUGAUUUUUUCUACUUUCAUCUCAUGUAGUUAAUAUAAUUUUUAUGCGGGGAAAAGGUGAAUUGUUUUUCUUGAAUUUUUUAUAUAUUUAAUGUUAAAAUACAUCAAUACUAAGUACAGCAAUUAUUGAAUCAUACAAUGCAAUUUAUGUUAGUUGUUUUCACCGAUUGAUAGUAAAAAUUGUCGUAAGGUUGAAGGGUAUGAUUUCCACGAAAUCGUUUGUUUAAUAAGUCGGGCUUCAACAAGUAAUUAUAUUUUAAUAUGCUCAUAUAUUUUUAUUUUUAAUAACCUUUUUUUUCACUAGAAAAAGUAUUUUUUAUUUAUAUUUGAAAAUAAAAUAGAUUAAACUGUUUUUGAAUUUAAACCCAUCAACAUCUGUUAAAAACAUAUAAUAAUAAUAAUAAUAAAAUACCAAGUUGAGCGAGAUCUAUGACCAUCCGCACCCAGCCUAAUAAAACCAAUCUGUUUUUGUUCACAAUUGAAUAAAACAACAUGGAACCUCAAAUCAGCUGAUGUGAUGUUGAAUAUCCAUUCAAUGAAUGGGAUGGAAUCAUCAUACUUGCAAAGCAAAUUAGAAUAUGACUGGGUACUUCACCCGUGAAAUAUUAAGGUGUUGUUUUUUAAAAAAUUAUUUUUUAUUUGAUAAUAUAUAUUAAAAUAAAAUUUUUGAUAUUUAUAUAUAAAAAUUAUCUAAAUAUAUAAAAAAUAUUAAUUUAAAUUAUAAAAACAUUUUGAAAUACAUAUCUAGUACAGAAAUAUAAGUUUUUAAUUUUUUUAAUUUUAAUUAUAAAUUGAAAAGUCUAUAUUUAAUUAAAUAUAUUAAAAAUUAUUUAUGCUGAAAAAAUAUUAAAAUGUUUAUUCAACUUGAUUUACUGCAGGUUAAAAAAUUAAUAAUUUUUUUAAUAAGAAGUAAAAACUAUAACUGUAAAUUAAAAAAUUAAUACUUAAAUAUAAUAAAACUUAUAUAAGUUAAUAAAAAUAUUUAAAAUUUCAAAAUAAUUUUUAAUAUAACAUAAAAAUAAAAUAAUAUUACAGUUGUUACAGUUAAAUACUAUUUCUUUAGUUUUUGUACAAUCAUUUCUUAUUUCUAGAAUGCCUAUGUCAAUGGCCCCUUCAGGAACCCGGCAUUCAAGAAUCAGUUUGGUCAAGCCGUCACUUGUUGAAUUGUUUUUUUUUUUUUUCUCAAGACAAUAAAAAAUUAUAUCUUGAAUUAUAGCUGGAUAUGUAAGUCUUCAUAUUAUAAUCUUGGGUUCAGAUCGAAAAUGAAUGUCAGAAAGAAGACCAGAUUUGUGGUAAAUAUAUUCGUUAUUGUAUAUACUACAUGGGUUACCCGUAUUUUACCAUGAGCCGAGCUGAUUUUACUGCAAUGUAAACAUAGAUGUCUGGACGCUUCUAGUGUAUUAAAAAAAAAAAUUACAGCUCAAGUAACUUUACUGUGUCCAAUAAAAUAAUUUUAUUUAAUUACACGGAAAAAAAAACAACUUGGUCAAUUUUUUUAAAAUAUUUUUUUUAAAAAAAAACAAUGGUUACAACCAGAAGAAAAUAUAGCUUGUCAAAAGGAAAAAUAAAUCUACAAAGUUAAAGUGUAAAAUAACUCAAUAUUAAAUAAUAAAAUUUAAAAAAUAAUAAAUAAAGCGCCUUGAAUCAACCGGAACUAGCAUGUAAAACUCGCAACUCAAGACAUAAGGUUGGACUAGCCACAUAAAAAAAACAAAUUGAAAAAAAUAAUGAAAGUGAAUCUCUAAUGAUCUAGAUGUACAAGGAAAAAACUAGUCAACAAAAAGAAGCAUAGAGAAACAAAAUGCAUGCGAACCUGGACAAGACUGUCAAAUCUUAUGAGUUGAACCAGACGAACAAGAUAAACUAAUACGAGAAAAAAUUACAAAGCUUGGUUUUAAAAAUAACAUAAUUUUAAAGGGUAAAACCAUAAAAUGAUAUAAAAAAACGACCCAAACAAAUACCAAAGCUAAUCGGUUAAACAUGUUAUUUAGUCAUGAGACUAUGAUAAUAUAGCUGAAAGGAAUCAAAAUAAAAUCAUAAAGCCAUUUUUAAAAAAAUAAACAACGUCGAAUGAUAAAAAAAAAUCAACUCGUGUUAACUUUUCAAACUUAUGAUUUGAGUUACUAAAGCAAAAACACCCCAUUUUAAAAAAUAUGAAGCUCAACUUUCAACAAAUAAAAUAUUGAGUUGAAAAAAAUUAAUCAUACCAAGCGAUCCAAAAUACAAAAUAACAAUUAAAAGAAUGAAAACCAAAUUUGAAAUGAUAAUAAAUGAGAGGACAACAUAGAAUUUUGAAUCGAAGGGAAAAAUUGAAAGGAAAAAUUAAAUUUACAACCAAACCCAACAUAAAAAAAUCAAAAUCAAAAUAAUGAGGAUCAUAUUUGGAAAAACUAACAAAUCACAAUCAUGAAUUUAAUAAUAAAAUUGAAAACAAAUUGAAAUUUGACAAGAUAGCCAUAAAUAAUUAUUAAAAAUAAAAAACAGGAAUUGAAGUUGAAAUAUCAGUAAAUAAGAUUUUUUUUUUGAAAUUUUGAACGAUCAGUGCGAAUCUUGAGGGAAAGAGAGAUAGAAGAGGAGAAGGAAAAAAAAGGUUGACGAUGUGUGUCGCAUAAACGGUGACAUGUGCUGCCCUACGAGCAAAGAGAUGCCUUGUCGCUUUCAACACCGCUAUAAAAGUUAUCGUUUGGAAGCUGGGAGACGUCGCAUGCAUCGUCAUAAAACAAUGAGCGUCUUCUACUCGCUGACGCGUGCUAAGAAAAUUUGAUUUUUAAAUUAUAUUUUAUAUUUAUUAAAAUAUCAAAUUAACUCUUAAGCUUAAUAAUAGUUAAAAAAGCAAGGAUAAGGAUAAUACAAAAUUUCUGGAUGUGCAUUAAAUAAGUUUUGCUUUUAAUAUUAAUUUAAUAACUUUAUUAUUUUUCUUAAAUGCAAAAAUACCCAUAUUAAUUUAAUAAUAACUGAUAUAUUUCCAACAACUAGUUCAUCGUUUAUUUCGAUAAAAUAAUAUAUCUAAAUGAUGUUUUUGCCUCAUUAAACUACAUUAUACCAUUCCCAUAAAUAAUACAUCAUCUUACAAUAAAUGAUGUUUCCCCCUUUUAUUAACACGGCUUGAAAAUGAGUUUUGAAAAGGAAAAAACUGAUCAAGAAUCGCAAAACAAUAAUAAAAAUAAACUACUUCAUACAAUCCUUGUCAGAAAUUCUCAAAUUUAUUUAAGGUUCAAAUUUUCGCCCCCUGAUUUAUUUUUUUUUUAAGAAUAUUGGGAUAAAGCCAAACACCGAAAAAUGUGCUGCCAACAUGGUCCCUGCACGCCAAGCUCGUUUGCGUCGCCACCUUGAUUUAACGUCCACGUUCAUGCUCCCCUAUUGUUUCAAUCGCUAAUUGGCAAUGCUUUUGGUUUUUGUCGUGUUGUUAGCUAUUAUUGCUCUUGUUAUAGCUGUUACUUUUAGUUUUAAUUUAAAAUAUAUUUAAUAAAAAUUAUUGCUAAGAGUAUUACACAAUUAAAAUUAGUUAAUAUUAUUAACCAUAAAUAUAAAAACGCUUAAUUUUAUUAACCGUCGUAGAUAUUGAUGAUAUUUGAUAUUGUGUUUUGAAUGUGUUUUUUAAAAAUAUUUAAAUUUUUUAUUUAUUAUUUUAUUUUGAAUUAAUAUUUUUUUGAUAUUUUUAUAUUAUUUUGAUAGAUUAAAAUCAAAAAUAAUUUUUUUAAAAUAAAAAAAUAUUAUUUUAAAAUAAAAAGUAUUUUAAAAAAUUAUGAUAUCACACUUCCAAAUACUUUGAUGUAACGUGAAAAAAAUGACUUUUUCCUCUUGUAAUAUAUAUAUAUAUAUAUAUUUUAAUAUGGGAGCAAAAACACCUGUCCUUUGCAUUAUCAUACAAUCCCUAGCUAGUCGGCUAACAUAUAAAAAACAAUACCUUCCAGUAGUAUUUAUAUCUAUUUAUUCCCUACCCAAAAUAGAAAAACUACCGAGAGAGUCUUGGAGGAAGAGCAAAGCAGAUACAGAGAGAAGAAAUAUAGCCCUCCUCCUGAAGAUGGGGAAGACGAGAGAUAUCGAUGAUCUACCAAAAAACCCAGCAAACUACAUGUCUUUGACCCCACUAUGGUUCCUGGAGAGAGCUGCCACUGUACACCCUACAAGAACAUCUAUUGUCCAUGAAUCAGUACAGUACACGUGGCAAGAAACUUACCAACGUUGCUGCCGAUUUGCUUCUGCUCUGUCCAACCGCUCUCUUGGCCUUGGUCGCACGGUAUGUACACUACUACUACUCUUGAUCCUCCUUUUUUGUUCUAAGUUGUGCUUGGCUCUUUCUUACAAAUAAAAAGAAAGUGAUGGGCUCUGGGCUGUCUUUCUCUCCCUCCGGGUUUUUUUUUUUUAAUUCUGGUGUUGUGUAUUUGUUAUGAAUUUUGUUCAAAAUUUUCCAUCUUAUUUUAUUUUAUUCCUUCUUUCCAUUCGAGCUCUUUAAAUUCCUUUCCUAGCUGGGAUCGAAAAUGAAAAGGUUUGAUUUAAUCGUAUAUGCUUUUUUUUUUUUUUUUUGGAUAUUUAAGAAGCACAUGUUGUUCGUUAAAUAUUACAGAGUUGAGGGGUUGUUGUGUAAAUUGAACUUGAAAACAUUGUUUUGGUGAAUUGCUAUACUCAUCGAGGCAAAAGCUGUGGUUUGUACUCAAUUAUGAUAAACCCCAGAAGAAAAAAGAACCCUGUGCGAUGUGCGAAUCGUCACCAAUCAGAGUGAGUUUUGCAGAUCGAGAUUACACUACAUUCCUAUAGUUAAGUUCUCGAGCGUGAUAAUUCAACAGUAAGGAAAUACCUGCUUAAUUACAUCCGAGAAGAAAAUCAAUGAACCAAGCUGGGGCCGCUUGGAUUGAAAUAAAGAAGAGAGAUUUUGUCCUUCUGGUGCUGGAGAUGUUCAUUUGAUAAUAGUCUUCAAUGCGGAUAAUUGAAAUCAUGAUACUAUGGCACUACAUUUUGGAAGUUGGCAUCUACAUGAAAUGUCUCUUUGCUAAGUGGUGUUUGGGAGUGAGUUUCAUCAAAAUUUAAUUUUUUUUAGCUUCAAAUUAAUUAUUUUAGUGUUUUUGGAUUGUAUUUGAAUUUUUUUAGUUUGGAUUGUUUUGAUAGCACGAUAUCAAAACACUAUUUUGAUGAUUAUACUAGCGAAAAACACUUUAAAAAACAACCGUUACCACAAUUCCAAAAACCCUCCAGUUGUUGCUGGAGCUUUAUAUGAACGCGUUACUGGUUCUCAAAUUUCCCUGUAUGCUGAGCCUUUUCCACUUUAUCAUGCAUCCAAACUUGUCAAUUUUAGUACUUAAAAUUUAUACAACUGCGUGAGUCCUGUAUCUGCCCGUGUUGGCCUUUUGUGUUUUCUGCUAAGAUUGCAUAAUCUCCCCCAUUGCUGUCCAGCUUGAUUGCAUUUUUCCUCUUUUCACAUGAGUAUUCAAAGUAAAACCCAGUUUCUGCUCUUCACCUGUCGGACAAACUGUUGAGCACGGAUAAGCAGGCAAUAAAACUAUGCCUUGGAGCAUGUAAAGGCUACCAUACCAACUUAAACCAUUCAACCCUGCAUUUUGUAUUCCUUAAUGAUUCCUACAUGCUUUCUGUAAGUGAACUUUCCUGUAGGAAAAAAUUUCCAGUGAAAAUAGAGCCAUGGAUUGAUAAAAUUCUGACCAGUCCUUUAGUGAUAAAAUUUCUUUUAUUCUCUCUUAAUUUUUCUUUGAAAUGUAUUAAGGUAAUAAGUAGUUCUAUAGUUAGUUGUUUAUGUCGUACCUUUGCAUAACAUGUUUUGCAUGCUUCAAAUUUGAAAAUUACUUAUUGUGCUGAUGGUGUUUGUUUCUGUUUAUAUGCACUGGAUCUCUAAAUACAGAUAAUGUCUGAAACUAUUUAAUUUUCACAUCGUGCUAGAUCUGAUUCAUUGGGUUUACUAUGCCUUGUAUUUUAGGUUGUAUUCGAGCUCACAGCUUAAUAAUAUCUUCCUAAUUUAUCCUGGCAGGUGGCUGUAAUUGCACCUAAUGUCCCUGCUUUAUAUGAAGCACAUUUUGGAGUUCCAAUGGCAGGAGCUGUUGUAAACUGCGUUAAUAUUCGUUUAAAUGCUCAAGCUAUUGCUUUUCUUCUAGGUCAUUCAAAAUCUGAAGUUGUGAUGGUGGACCAAGAGUUUUUCACUCUGGUGGAGGAAGCUUUAAAAAUCUGGGAAGGUAACGAAAAGAAUUUUAAACCUCCACUAUUGGUUGUCAUAGGUGAUAAAAGCUGCGAUCCAAAGUCUCUGGAAUAUGCUUUAGGAAGAGGAGCCAUUGAAUAUGAGAAGUUCCUUGAAAGUGGUGACCCUGAGUUUGAUUGGAAACCACCUGAGGAUGAGUGGCAAAGCAUUGCCUUGGGUUAUACUUCUGGUACAACUUCCAGCCCCAAAGGAGUGGUGCUGAGCCACCGUGGAGCAUAUCUCAUGUGCUUGAGUAAUCCUGUUAUUUGGGGGAUGGAUGAAGGGGCUAUUUAUCUGUGGACUCUGCCGAUGUUCCAUUGCAAUGGUUGGUGUUUUACUUGGACACUUGCAGCCCUUUGUGUGAAAAGUAUAUGCCUUCGACAGGUAAUUUUGUAUACUUAGCAAUCCUGUUUGUUUAGCUUCAUAAUAUGGAAGAAUUUUGCUGAUGUUAUUGUACAACCACUUGCACAUGUGUGCUUUUCUCGAUUUCAAAAUAGCUAAUUUCAUUUACUUGGAUGGCCAAUUUGUGUGUAGUCAAGCAUCUAUACCUAGAUAAACCCAAAUUGUUGUGGUGGUCUAGUCUGUUUAGAAGGUCAGGUUCUCUAGUUAAAUUCAGUAACAAUUUGAACAGGGAGUGGAGAGCUAUAUUUGGAAAAGAAGUCAGCUUGUAGGUCUUGCAUGACAUGAGGUCCUGGUUUUUCCAGCGUGCCUUUCUAAAUUAGGCUUGCUUACAGAAGUCUCAUGCAAUAUUGUGCACUGAACAGUGCCUAUAUAGAUACUUAUUUCAUGAAAUUCCCCGUGCAAUAUUCUACACUUGGAUGAUUACAAGAUGAUCGCUUGUUUUCUACAGGUAACAGCUAAGGCAAUCUAUUCAGCCAUAGCAUAUGCCGGCGUCAGUCACUUCUGUGCUGCACCUGUGGUACUUAACACCAUAAUCAAUGCUUCAAAGGAGGAGACUAUCCUUCCUCUACCCCGUUUGGUUCACGUAAUGACAGCUGGUGCUGCCCCUCCCCCUUCUGUACUCUUCUCUAUGUCAGAAAAAGGCUUCCGCGUGACACACACCUAUGGACUCUCAGAAACUUAUGGCCCCUCCACAGUGUGUGCAUGGAAGCCUGAGUGGGACUCGCUUCCCCCAAUAAAACAAGCCCGUCUCAAUGCUCGCCAAGGUGUUCGAUAUGUUGGCUUGGAGAGGCUAGAUGUUGUUGACACUAAAACCAUGAAACCUGUCCCUGCAGAUGGAAAAACCAUGGGAGAAAUCGUGAUGAGAGGCAAUGUUGUGAUGAAGGGCUACUUAAAGAACCCAAAAGCCAACGAGGAAGCUUUUGCAAAUGGAUGGUUUCAUUCCGGGGAUCUUGGUGUAAAGAAUCCUGAUGGAUAUAUAGAAAUUAAGGAUAGAUCAAAGGACAUUAUCAUCUCUGGAGGUGAAAACAUAAGUAGCUUGGAGGUGGAAAACGUAUUGUACAUGCACCCAGCUAUCUAUGAGGUAUCGGUGGUAGCUCGACUACAUGAGCGCUGGGGCGAGUCACCGUGUGCUUUUGUGACUUUGAAACCUGAAAUGGAAAAAUCUGAUAAACAACAAUUGAUUGAUGAUAUAAUGAAGUUUUCUCGGUCAAAUAUGCCUGCUUACUGGGUUCCAAGAUCAAUAGUGUUCGGGCCUCUGCCAAAAACAGCGACGGGGAAGAUUCAGAAACAUGUCCUCAGGGCCAAGGCAAGAGAGAUGGGACCUAUCAAGGAGAGCAAGUUAUAGCUAAUAUUCUGGUGCAAAAGACUUCUGGCUGUUGAAAAU